GGCAAGAUGGCCGAGCGGUCCAAGGCGCUGGUUUUAAGUCACGUGACUUCCGAUGUAUCAGCAUCUGAUAACACCAGUAUCGAAAGAUGCGCGAGUGAAUCUCGCUCUUGUCA